rnacentral:rRNA from 1 species
GUGCCAGCAGCCGCGGUAAUACGUAGGGCGCAAGCGUUGUCCGGAAUUAUUGGGCGUAAAGAGCUCGUAGGUGGCUUGUCACGUCGGGUGUGAAAGCUUGGGGCUUAACUCCAGGUCUGCAUUCGAUACGGGCUGGCUAGAGGUAGGUAGGGGAGAACGGAAUUCCUGGUGUAGCGGUGAAAUGCGCAGAUAUCAGGAGGAACACCGGUGGCGAAGGCGGUUCUCUGGGCCUUACCUGACGCUGAGGAGCGAAAGCGUGGGGAGCGAACAGGAUUAGAUACCCUGGUAGUCCACGCUGUAAACGUUGGGCGCUAGGUGUGGGGACCUUCCACGGUUUCCGCGCCGUAGCUAACGCAUUAAGCGCCCCGCCUGGGGAGUACGGCCGCAAGGCUAAAACUCAAAGGAAUUGACGGGGGCCCGCACAAGCGGCGGAGCAUGUUG